GCGAGUGUGAGCUGUGAGCGUCUACCCUAACCCCCAAAUCCCCAAUCCCUAACCUAGUCAGUACUCAUCGCUCCCUCUUCUCCAAAUCUCCACACCUGCCGACCUGCGCACCCAGCCACCCACCACCGCGAAGCCUUCUGCCCGUCGCAAAUCAGGCCAACAUGAAGCCACGCCGUCACACAUCAGGCCAACACGAAGCCACCACCGACCGACUUGACACGGCAGCACAGCACCACGCCACCGCCGUUGAAACACCACCAUCCUAACCCAUCAGUUCAACCCAGCACGGCAGCACCUCCCAGUCUCCCACUCAGCCUUCCUCCCAAGUCAAUAUGGAGCCCGAGCCACCGAUUAAGUUUGACGUCAGUUCAAGUGAGAAUAUGGGCGAAUCCGGAUUGCCACCAGUUCCUCUUCCGAAUGAAUCCACAAGCAUCAGAUCUCCGACUGCAUUGCCUCCUGAUUGUUUCUACUUAUAAUUUUCUUUAUUUUAAUC